rnacentral:tRNA from 1 species
GCGAGCGUGGCGAAACCGGUAGACGCAGCGGACUUAAAAUCCGUUCGCCGCAAGGCGGUGCGGGUUCAAGUCCCGCCGCUCGCACCA